ACAACUCCCAAACCCAAUGGUGAACGUUACCAAACUGUUGCCUCGGCGGGAUCUCUGCCCCGGGUGCGUCGCAGCCCCGGACCAAGGCGCCCGCCGGAGGACCAACCAAAACUCUUAUUGUAUACCCCCUCGCGGGUUUUUUUAUAAUCUGAGCCUUCUCGGCGCCCCUCGUGGGCGUUUCGAAAAUGAAUCAAAACUUUCAACAACGGAUCUCUUGGUUCUGGCAUCGAUGAAGAACGCAGCGAAAUGCGAUAAGUAAUGUGAAUUGCAGAAUUCAGUGAAUCAUCGAAUCUUUGAACGCACAUUGCGCCCGCCAGUAUUCUGGCGGGCAUGCCUGUCCGAGCGUCAUUUCAACCCUCGAACCCCUCCGGGGGGUCGGCGUUGGGGAUCGGCCCUCCCUCUGCGGGGGCCGUCUCCGAAAUACAGUGGCGGUCUCGCCGCAGCCUCUCCUGCGCAGUAGUUUGCACACUCGCACCGGGAGCGCGGCGCGUCCACAGCCGUUAAACACCCCAACUUUCUGAAAUGUUGACCUCGGAUCAGGUAGGAAUACCCGCUGAACUUAAGCAUAUCAAUAAGCGGAGGA
rnacentral:rRNA from 1 species